AACGAAACCUUUUUUACAGUUUGGUCUACCAGGACCCACUCAAGAGAAUCUCCUCCAAAACUGGUGCUUUGUUUCCACGCAUGAAGCAGUUUGAGAGUUACUCGCCAUUCAUCUUUAUUAGAAAACAGAUGGAAUAAGGGAAGACAUUUAUUUAGUCACCUUUUACGUGGGGAGAAAGCUAGAGUCAAAGAAAUGGUAAUAUUUCAUCUGUUAGAUGGGAUAAGAUAUUUUGCGUAUCAAAUUUUUAAUUAGCUUACAUGAUAAGAUUUGAGCUAUAGAUUUACUAAUUUACAUUUUCUAUUCGAUGGGCUAUAGCAUAAACGGGUCUCUUUGGGCCUGAGAAGAAAUGGAUGUCGAUUAUGCUAAGAUGAAAAACGUGAAGUUAUCACUUAUAGUUAUACAUGCUUCCAAACAAAAUGUAAACUCUUUUUUUAAUCUCCUAUCUAAGUUUCCAAACACACCAAUUUUGUACUUGAGUUUUAAUAAUAUAGAUUAUACU